GAUGAACGCUCGCGGCAGCCCUAAUACAUGCAAGUCGGACGGGAUUCAGGAGCUUGCUUCUGAUGAGAGUGGCGCACGGGUGCGUAACACGUAUGUAACCUACCUUUAUCAGGGGGAUAGCCUCUCGAAAGAGAGAUUAAGCCCGCAUAAAAUCACAGCACAGCAUUGUGUAAUGAUCAAAUAUUUAUAGGAUAAAGAUGGGCAUGCGGAACAUUAGCUAGAUGGCGGGGUAACGGCCCACCAUGGCGACGAUGUUUAGGGGAUCUGAGAGGAUGGCCCCCCACACUGGUACUGAGACACGGACCAGACUCCUACGGGAGGCAGCAGUAAGGAAUAUUGGUCAAUGGGCGGAAGCCUGAACCAGCCAUGCCGCGUGCAGGAAGACGGCCCUACGGGUUGUAAACUGCUUUUGUACGGGAAUAAACCCAGAUACGUGUAUCUGGCUGAAUGUACUGUAAGAAUAAGGAUCGGCUAACUCCGUG
rnacentral:rRNA from 1 species